rnacentral:rRNA from 1 species
AGCGAACGCUGGCGGCAGGCUUAACACAUGCAAGUCGAGCGGGCGUAGCAAUACGUCAGCGGCAGACGGGUGAGUAACGCGUGGGAACGUACCUUUUGGUUCGGAACAACCCAGGGAAACUUGGGCUAAUACCGGAUAAGCCCUUACGGGGAAAGAUUUAUCGCCGAAAGAUCGGCCCGCGUCUGAUUAGCUAGUUGGUGUGGUAACGGCGCACCAAGGCGACGAUCAGUAGCUGGUCUGAGAGGAUGAUCAGCCACAUUGGGACUGAGACACGGCCCAAACUCCUACGGGAGGCAGCAGUGGGGAAUAUUGGACAAUGGGCGCAAGCCUGAUCCAGCCAUGCCGCGUGAGUGAUGAAGGCCCUAGGGUUGUAAAGCUCUUUUACCCGGGAAGAUAAUGACUGUACCGGGAGAAUAAGCCCCGGCUAACUUCGUGCCAGCAGCCGCCGUAAG